UAAAAGGACUGAAAAGCUGCCACUCUCCUCAAGCUCUGCCAGCUCCAGGAGAAACGCACUGCACACUGUGGUUAUCCCUGGGAGACUGAGAAACCGCCUCUGAAAGGAGAUCAGAGGUGCAGCAGCUCAACAGCAGGGAAGACUACAGAAGAGUAAUGUGUCUGUUUUGUUUGCAAGUUAAUACAAACGUUCAAAGUUCAAUUAGCCUAAGCAUCUUCCUACCUGUGCAUGGUAUCAGCAUUGCUUCUAUUGCAACAGAUCAGAUGUGUCAAUGGAGGACAGCAGCUGGCCACUGUGCAACUCAGAGGUACCUGGAUCUGUGAUAUUUGCAGACCGAGGAAUAGCAUUAGAAAGACACUAAGCGGGAACAAAAUAACAAACACAAGUUGGAAAUGUACAGAUCGUCCUGCAAAAGAUCGUCUGCAUCUCCAUGUUAGUGCUGGGAUUGGAACAAAAGGUUCAGACAGCAGCUGGGGUGAAUCCAUACACCUGGAAUACUUACUACAGAAACUGAAAUACAAACUUUGAAAUUUUGUUAGCUGUCAUUGAUUGUAUCACCCAUCAGUCAGUGCCAGAAAUAUCAUAUGAACCUGUGUGUAUUUUCUGCUUGCAUUUGAAAAUAAUGUAUUUAUCCUAUUCCAUUAGUGUAUUUUAACAAGCAUUGCUUUGGGACAGUAUGCCUGCCAAUUUAUGUUUAUGAGACUGUCAAAAGAAUUUACAUGCCUAAGAAAAUAUGAUAUAACAUUGCCAAAGCAGGAACUGCCUGUCAAAUGAGGUUGUCAUGGAGAA
ensembl:lncRNA